GCGGGGGGCGGGGCGUCCCAAUCAUGCUAGGCUAGGCCUAGUCACCACCCCCCCCAGCAAAAAGCCCAUAGAAGAGGCGGCCUAUAGAGUUCAGUAGAAAAACCCACCAACCUCGAACAAGAACAAGUUCCCUGAGGUGCAGCUGACAAACCAAGAUUCAUAGAAGAUCCACAAAAUCCUGAAAAAUGCAUGAUAUCUGCUUAAGCUUCAUCAGAGGAAGUUUGAGUCACACGAUGAGAUCCUAGUUAAGCUGGCACCCCCUGGAUAUGAUAUUGGACAUUGGACUAUAACCUGUGGACUAAAUUCUAAAGGAACUCUUUGCAACUACAAAGCUCACCAUCUCUGCUGUGUAUCUGAAG